rnacentral:ncRNA from 1 species
UCCGACAAUAGCAAACUCGCAGUAAUGCGGGGACGCAAAGCCAUGGGUCCACGAUACAAGGAUCGCCAGGUUGCCGAAG